CAAUACAUCGGAAAUCUUUAAACGUUUGCAUUUGUGAAUAGAAACUUUAUACCUAUCUGACAUACGAUUUGACAUUUCAAUCUUUAUCUGGUUUUAUUGUUUGUAAAAGAUUGUAUCGAAUUCACUUCUUAAAAGAAAUAUAUAUCUAAGUGUUUAGAAAAUACUUGUUAACGUUUCUAUUUCACUAGCUUUUGAUUUUGGACUAAACAUAACAUUACAUCAUGCAAUGAAUAUACAGUGCAAAACUUAAUCAUUUAUGCUAAUUUGAUAUUUCAAAGGCUGAUUACAGUAGAAGACGGAUAGAUAAUAAAUAUACAACAUGUAAUUAAACUAUGGGUGGAUAAAAGUAAAAGGAACACAACACAAGAACAGAAUGUCUUGUAGACCUACAUCUACACCAUUCGGAUUUCAUAUUCCGGAAGGAAUGAAACCAUUUCAGUUACCUCUAAAAUAUGACAGGCUUUACACAACAUCUGAAGUCAGACAAGCUUGGGUGCAUUCACAUGGAAAUGAGAAAUUAGGAGAAAGACUAUCCGUGCGUCAAUUUCCUAUUUCGUUGCUAAGGCAACAAAUGGAUAAAAGACGGGCACAUUGUAGAAGUGCAGAUCCGCAUUACUGGAUGUCAGACGAAGAUAAGAGGAGAGCAGCCGACAAAAGAAAAAGUUUCGAACGUCAGUGGAGUGCAGAGGUUUCUAAGAG